AAUAGAGGACGCCGUUGACUUUUUUUUACAUGUUUGACCAUUGUCUUAUUUAAAAAAUUUAAGUAAUUAUAAUUUAUUUUGUUAUGAGUUGUUUUAUCACUCAUAGUACUUUAAGUGUGAUUUAUAUCUUAUAUAUUUGCAUAAAAAUUUUAAAUAAGACGAAUGGUCAAACAUGUGAGAAAAAGUUAACUGCGUCAUCUAUU
rnacentral:pre_miRNA from 1 species